UACAGAGGUCUCAAGCGUUGUUCGGAUUUAUUGGGCGCAAAGGGUGCGCAGGCUGUGUGGUAAGUUUGGUGUGAAAUCCUGGGGCUCAACCCCAGAAUUGCACUGAAUACUGCCAUGCUAGAGGACUGGAGAGGAGAUUGGAAUUCACGGUGUAGCAGUGAAAUGCGUAGAUAUCGUGAGGAAGACCAGUGGCGAAGGCGGAUCUCUGGAGAGUUCCUGACGCUGAGGCACGAAGGCCAGGGGAGCAAACGGG
rnacentral:rRNA from 1 species